rnacentral:rRNA from 1 species
GAUGAACGCUGGCGGCGUGCCUAAUACAUGCCAGUCGAGCGAACAGACGAGGAGCUUGCUCCUCUGACGUUAGCGGCGGACGGGCGAGUAACACGUGGAUAACCUACCUAUAAGACUGGGAUAACUUCGGGAAACCGGAGCUAAUACCGGAUAAUAUAUUGAACCGCAUGGUUCAAUAGUGAAAGACGGUUUUGCUGUCACUUAUAGAUGGAUCCGCGCCGCAUUAGCUAGUUGGUAAGGUAACGGCUUACCAAGGCGACGAUGCGUAGCCGACCUGAGAGGGUGAUCGGCCACACUGGAACUGAGACACGGUCCAGACUCCUACGGGAGGCAGCAGUAGGGAAUCUUCCGCAAUGGGCGAAAGCCUGACGGAGCAACGCCGCGUGAGUGAUGAAGGUCUUCGAAUCGUAAAACUCUGUUAUUAGGGAAGAACAAAUGUGUAAGUAACUAUGCACGUCUUGACGGUACCUAAUCAGAAAGCCACGGCUAACUACGUG